GCUGCUCGCCUCCACAAGCGCUACCUGAAAGGUGCGGGCCGAAGCCCCGGUCCCUCCCGGACCGAGUCUGCCCCUGCUCCUGCGAGGUGGUGCUGAGGGAGGACGGAGAAGCUGCAGGCACCGCUUGAGCAGGCAGCGAGCACUGAUGUCAUGAGAAGGAAGCACAUAACCAGAGCUGUGCAACACAUUCGCCAUAAAACCCCAAACCAUGGAAAACUUGCCUCAUCUGUAACUUUCCUACCAGAAAACUCAGACCAGAGGAAACUGCUGAUACCAAAACAGAUUCUCCUCCUUGGAUCCCAUGGACCACUCUCAGCAGGCUGCGCCUACGGAGCUCUUUCUCACGACACCUCUUUGCUGGUCAGCAGACUCUGCACGUAUACCAGAUACUCUG